GAGAGAGAGAGAGGGAAAACUGAGGCGGCGUGCGGCGGACUGGGGUGAUGGAAGGUCCUCGCCGGCAAUUUCUGUGUGGGCACGGCGCGGUGGAGCUCUCGAUGGAGCGUGACUGCAGCAGCUUGGACGCUGCUCUGUUUUAGACAACUAAAACAGAGGAUUUCGGGGCUUCUAAUGGAGGCGACAGAGGCGUUGGGAGGCGGCUACAAGGCUGAG